CAAAUACUCCCUCCGUCCGAAAAUACUUGUCAUCAAAAUGGAUAAAAGGAAAUGUAUCUAGACGUAUUUUAGGUUUAGAUACAUCUCUUUUAUGCAUUUUGAUGACAAGUAUUUACGAACGGAGGGAGCAGAAA
rfam:Triticum aestivum genome assembly, contig: Triticum_aestivum_CS42_TGACv1_scaffold_404143_5BL